UGAGAGGAUGAUCAGCCACACUGGAACUGAGACACGGUCCAGACUCCUACGGGAGGCAGCAGUGGGGAAUAUUGGACAAUGGGCGCAAGCCUGAUCCAGCCAUACCGCGUGGGUGAAGAAGGCCUUCGGGUUGUAAAGCCCUUUUGUUGGGAAAGAAAUCCAGCUGGCUAAUACCYGGUUGGGAUGACGGUACCCAAAGAAUAAGCACCGGCUAACUUCGUGCCAGCAGCCGCGGUAAUACGAAGGGUGCAAGCGUUACUCGGAAUUACUGGGCGUAAAGCGUGCGUAGGUGGUCGUUUAAGUCCGUUGUGAAAGCCCUGGGCUCAACCUGGGAACUGCAGUGGAUACUGGGCGACUAGAGUGUGGUAGAGGGUAGCGGAAUUCCUGGUGUAGCAGUGAAAUGCGUAGAGAUCAGGAGGAACAUCCAUGGCGAAGGCAGCUACCUGGACCAACACUGACACUGAGGCACGAAAGCGUGGG
rnacentral:rRNA from 1 species